ACCUGUUAACAGAGCUAUCAUUUAACGUCGUGUUGUUGUAGACGCAGUCUUGUAACACCAUUAAGUGUGCCAGGAAAACAAAUAUCGCCCUGUAACCUCCAGUUACCUGCGCUUGGUUCAGCCUCUUCAGACGAAGUCAAUCUCCCAAGGGGCAUAGUCGAUUGGUUGCUUCCAAAAAGCCUCCUGAUGAUCUGCUUUACAGGCAUUGACACUUCUUUGGUCCUCAUAUUGAGAUAAGUGCUGUUUAUCAGUAAGCUGACCAAACUGAGGUUUCUCACCACACCCCUGAACUAAAGGGGACCAGGGACAAUGCCCAAGACAAAGCCCUUUGUGUGAAUGUUUCAGGUCCCUAUUGUCUCCCCCUGGCUUGGGAGCAAAUCCCUUGAAAUUUAAAUUCUUCAGAAAAUAAAAAGCCCAUCCCACCCUG